GGGUUGUGAGGUUAAGCGACUAAGCGUACACGGUGGAUGCCCUGGCAGUCAGAGGCGAUGAAGGACGUGCUAAUCUGCGAAAAGCGCCGGCGAGGUGAUAUGAACCCUUGACCCGGCGAUGUCCGAAUGGGGAAACCCAGUGUGUUCCGACACACUAUCGUUAACUGAAUACAUAGGUUAACGAGGCGAACCGGGGGAACUGAAACAUCUAAGUACCCCGAGGAAAAGAAAUCAACCGAGAUUCCCCCAGUAGCGGCGAGCGAACGGGGAGCAGCCCGGAGUCUGAAUCAGCUUGUGUGUUAGUGGAACGGUCUGGAAAGUCCGACGGUACAGGGUGAUAGUCCCGUACACGAAAACACACUUGCUGUGAACUCGAAGAGUAGGGCGGGACACGUGGUAUCCUGUCUGAAUAUGGGGGGACCAUCCUCCAAGGCUAAAUACUCCUGACUGACCGAUAGUGAACCAGUACCGUGAGGGAAAGGCGAAAAGAACCCCGGCGAGGGGAGUGAAAAAGAACCUGAAACCGUGUACGUACAAGCAGUGGGAGCACCUUCGUGGUGUGACUGCGUACCUUUUGUAUAAUGGGUCAGCGACUUAUAUUCUGUAGCAAGGUUAACCGUAUAGGGGAGCCGAAGGGAAACCGAGUCUUAACUGGGCGUUAAGUUGCAGGGUAUAGACCCGAAACCCGGUGAUCUAGCCAUGGGCAGGUUGAAGGUUGGGUAACACUAACUGGAGGACCGAACCGACUAAUGUUGAAAAAUUAGCGGAUGACCUGUGGCUGGGGGUGAAAGGCCAAUCAAACCGGGAGAUAGCUGGUUCUCCCCGAAAGCUAUUUAGGUAGCGCCUCGUGAACUCAUCUUCGGGGGUAGAGCACUGUUUCGGCUAGGGGGCCAUCCCGGCUUACCAACCCGAUGCAAACUACGAAUACCGAAGAAUGUUAUCACGGGAGACACACGGCGGGUGCUAACGUCCGUCGUGAAGAGGGAAACAACCCAGACCGCCAGCUAAGGUCCCAAAGUCAUGGUUAAGUGGGAAACGAUGUGGGAAGGCACAGACAGCCAGGAUGUUGGCUUAGAAGCAGCCAUCAUUUAAAGAAAGCGUAAUAGCUCACUGGUCGAGUCGGCCUGCGCGGAAGAUGUAACGGGGCUAAACCAUGCACCGAAGCUGCGGCAGCGACACUUAUGUGUUGUUGGGUAGGGGAGCGUUCUGUAAGCCGUUGAAGGUGUGCUGUGAGGCAUGCUGGAGGUAUCAGAAGUGCGAAUGCUGACAUAAGUAACGAUAAAGCGGGUGAAAAGCCCGCUCGCCGGAAGACCAAGGGUUCCUGUCCAACGUUAAUCGGGGCAGGGUGAGUCGACCCCUAAGGCGAGGCCGAAAGGCGUAGUCGAUGGGAAACAGGUUAAUAUUCCUGUACUUGGUGUUACUGCGAAGGGGGGACGGAGAAGGCUAUGUCAGCCGGGCGACGGUUGUCCCGGUUUAAGCAUGUAGGCGGAGGUUCCAGGUAAAUCCGGUACCUUUUAACGCUGAGGUGUGAUGACGAGGCACUACGGUGCUGAAGUGAUAAAUGCCCUGCUUCCAGGAAAAGCCUCUAAGCAUCAGGUAACACGAAAUCGUACCCCAAACCGACACAGGUGGUCAGGUAGAGAAUACCAAGGCGCUUGAGAGAACUCGGGUGAAGGAACUAGGCAAAAUGGUGCCGUAACUUCGGGAGAAGGCACGCUGAUAUGUAGGUGAAGUCCCUGCGGACGGAGCUGAAAUCAGUCGAAGAUACCAGCUGGCUGCAACUGUUUAUUAAAAACACAGCACUGUGCAAACACGAAAGUGGACGUAUACGGUGUGACGCCUGCCCGGUGCCGGAAGGUUAAUUGAUGGGGUUAGCGGCAACGCGAAGCUCUUGAUCGAAGCCCCGGUAAACGGCGGCCGUAACUAUAACGGUCCUAAGGUAGCGAAAUUCCUUGUCGGGUAAGUUCCGACCUGCACGAAUGGCGUAAUGAUGGCCAGGCUGUCUCCACCCGAGACUCAGUGAAAUUGAACUCGCUGUGAAGAUGCAGUGUACCCGCGGCAAGACGGAAAGACCCCGUGAACCUUUACUAUAGCUUGACACUGAACACUGGUCCUUGAUGUGUAGGAUAGGUGGGAGGCUUUGAAGCGUGGACGCCAGUCUGCGUGGAGCCAUCCUUGAAAUACCACCCUUUAAUGGCUGGUGUUCUAACGUAGACCCGUGAUCCGGGUUGCGGACAGUGUCUGGUGGGUAGUUUGACUGGGGCGGUCUCCUCCCAAAGAGUAACGGAGGAGCACGAAGGUUGGCUAAUCCUGGUCGGACAUCAGGAGGUUAGUGCAAUGGCAUAAGCCAGCUUGACUGCGAGCGUGACGGCGCGAGCAGGUGCGAAAGCAGGUCAUAGUGAUCCGGUGGUUCUGAAUGGAAGGGCCAUCGCUCAACGGAUAAAAGGUACUCCGGGGAUAACAGGCUGAUACCGCCCAAGAGUUCAUAUCGACGGCGGUGUUUGGCACCUCGAUGUCGGCUCAUCACAUCCUGGGGCUGAAGUAGGUCCCAAGGGUAUGGCUGUUCGCCAUUUAAAGUGGUACGCGAGCUGGGUUUAGAACGUCGUGAGACAGUUCGGUCCCUAUCUGCCGUGGGCGCUGGAGAAUUGAGGGGGGCUGCUCCUAGUACGAGAGGACCGGAGUGGACGCAUCACUGGUGUUCGGGUUGUCAUGCCAAUGGCACUGCCCGGUAGCUAAAUGCGGAAGAGAUAAGUGCUGAAAGCAUCUAAGCACGAAACUUGCCCCGAGAUGAGUUCUCCCUGAGACUUUAAGUCUCCUGAAGGAACGUUGAAGACGACGACGUUGAUAGGUCGGGUGUGUAAGCGCAGCGAUGCGUUGAGCUAACCGAUACUAAUGAACCGUGAGGCUUAACCUUACAACGCCGAAGGUGUUU
rnacentral:rRNA from 1 species